AUCCUGUUGCACACGGGUCGGGUCGGGUUGACUUGUUGCACGGGUUGAUCCGGGUUCGGCUGGUUGCACGGGUCACCUUGUAGCUCGGGCCGGGUCGUAGAAGGUUGGGUCGAGAUUGGUUGCAGGAGCCGAUCUGGACAGAAAGAACGUUGAUGCCGAUCUGGAAAUCGAGGAAGAGGGAUGAUUCUGGGCUGGUAACCAAGAGAGAUGCCGAUCUGGGUUGAUGAGAGACGACAGCGGCGGUUUCGGGCGGAAGACGAAGCCGACUGGACUCGAUGGGAAGAUGCCGAUCUGGGUUGAUGACAGAUGACGGCGGCGAUGACAGAUGACAGAUGACGAAGCCGACUGGGUUGAUGACAGAUGACGAAGCCGACUGGACUCGAUGGGGAAUAAACAACGAUCUGAUCUUGAUGCCGGAUCUGUUGCAGGAAGAAGAUGACUGGUCUUGACCAACGAAUACGACGGCGGUCUAGUUCUGGAGACGAAGCCGGUCUGAUGAUGAAAGUGACUGGUCUGAUGAUGUUGAAAUCCAAGAAGAAGACAAUAUAGUCGUUCUUGGAUGAGAGACAGCGAUGGGAGAAACAACACCCCUAAAACCCGACCUAGGAAAUUAGGAAGUAGAAAAUAAGAGACAAAGUCCUCUCGGAUCUUUGCUCUGAUACCAAGUCAAAUAAGACAGUA
rnacentral:lncRNA from 1 species